GCUGAGCUUGAGCACAUGCUAUCCAUGGUGUUCUCGAUGAACUCGGCCCUUCGCCUGACUGAUACAUUUACUAGGCUCACCACCAGAACCCCGAAAACUAUGACCAGAGCUGCAGAUAUGGCCACAAUUGAUGACGCACUGAGAAAUCUCCUAUGUUGUGGGCUCAUAGGGUUUGCCUCUGUGACCAUUGGCUCUCUGUUGCUGGUGUUUCGUAAUCCUGGGCCGUAAGCGAAUGGGUUGAGGACCAGCGGCUUGGGGACGUCCAACAUGCAUGGUUCGGUAACAAGGGGAGUGCAGAGGCCGAGGUUUCCCUGUAAUGCGCUCUGGUCGAGGCUUGGGAAAAUGCCACCAUUUGGGAGGCGGCCGACAAGGUGGUUGUGGGAGAUGUUCACUGCCAGGAGACUGUCCAAGCUUCCGAGCUGCUUGGGGACCUCACCAGUUAGCUUGUUGUAUUCCAAGUUGAGGAUCUUGAGCUUCUUUAAUCGGGACAUGGCUGUAGGAAUCGAACUAUUCAGUGAAUUGUGUGAUAAGCUCAGUAAGUAGAGAGACGAGCAGUUCCCAAUCUCCUCCGGUAUCGGGCCACUCAGUGAAUUGUCAUCCAGCUGAAGAACAGCAAUGCUACCGGAGUCGCACAAUUCUCCGGGUAUCGCUCCGUUCAGCCCACUCCGCCUGAGGUCCAGCACCGACAGAUCACGAAAAUACCCAAGCUCCGGCGGCACUCUCGUCCACAGCUCAUUCCAUGACAGAUUAAGAUACCUCAGUUUGAAGUACAAAGCCACCUCUG
rnacentral:misc_RNA from 1 species